UUCCUCCAUGCACUGAAAAAAGAUAGUUAUGUAUUAAUUUGUCUAAGUUGAGGUAAGAACAUAGUAAAAUAUUAAAAAUGGUAGUUUUCCUUUAAGUCAAAAGUGUAGGCCUAUUUGUCAGCGUUCCACACUCUGUCUCAGUCGUGCAACGUGCAAGUGCAACUGCCUGCCAACGUGCAAGUGUGAAUUUGAAUUUCCUUUCGCGACAGUUAUAAUAACACAAAUCACAUCACACCCAAUAAUUCAAUCGCCUUUGCUUUAUUUCCUACUCCAACAUUUCAAUUAUUGCCCACUAAAAGCUGCACAGAUAUAUUUGCUUACCUGAACUCUGGUGUCUGGUAUGAACUAGUUGAUGCAUGAAAACAGCACCCUGACUGGUUGACUGGCUCAAAGUAUUUUGAGUAUUUUAAAAAUACAAAAAUACUCAUCUUAAAUGUAUUUAAAUACAAAUUACAUUUCAUUUUUUUCAAAGGCUUUAAAAUACAAAAUACAAAAUACUAUUUUGUAUUUGAAAUACGUAUUUUAAAUACAUGUAUUUGAAAUACUGCCCAUCCCUGUAUAUGAUAUGGAAUAAAUAGGAAAGUACAGAUACUGAGAAAGCAAGCAAUGAACAGUUUUGGUGUAAGUUUACUAAGGCAGAUUUGACCAGUGUAUGAUUUGUCAAAAAAAGAGUGCACUACAUCUUUAAGGGUACAAUGUACUGUUUUGUUUAUUUUGUAAAAGGUGACAAUUAACUAGCUUAGGUGAUGUCCAAUUCAUAAUGAUGACAAGGUUUGAGAGAGUCAACAAUUUAAUGUUGUGACUGAGAUAACAGUGUUUCCAUUAUGCAUAUUUAAAAAUGUACAAAUAAAUAGCGAAUUUAUUAUUUAAAUGAGUCUCUUGUGUAAUUAAAUAUAAUUUAAUUAUGAAAUAUAAUUUAUUAUUCUUAUAUCUGCUUCUAUUUUGUUUUUCCUAUUUUAUAAAUAAAAAUAUAUUAAGAGAAGUAGUAAUGCAGACAGACGCUAAACCAAAAUUGUGUGACGACGUCUCUUAGCAACGGUGAUGUCUCCACGGCAACAUCCUCUAGAUCCGUCUGUCGGAAAGCCCUGCCAGCAAAAUACAACAGUCAAAUUGAACAUGCUUAAAGUCUCAAAUAAAUACGUAUAAUAAAAUUAUUAGAGAAACUACAUAUAGCGCUGUUUCUGAAUGACUUUGGAAGCGCGAGACGAUGCAUAAACGCGUGAGGGAUGACAGACACGAGCGCGUGACAGAUCUGCAGUGAAAGUGAUGCUCUGCGACUAAACUCUUGAGUAUUUAUCCUUGCAGUCUGUAUUGUAGAGGACCUGUGUAAUAUCGAGUUGCAUUUAUCGCUGGGAUGGAGCCCGGUGUGCUUAUAUUUUUACUGUACGUCAUGAUAGCGCACGAGCUGGUGUGUGGACUGAUGCAGUAUAGAAGACAAGCAGCAAAGCCACAUAAACGACUAAUGUGGCGCUCCAGUGCUCGUGUUUGUCAUGGAACCUGGAGGGUCAGUAGCCAGCCGGUGCGAAACAGGAGGCAAGGCUUAAAGAAAUGUGGACGUAUUGUAAGGAAAGUGUGACAUGAGGGCCAUGGAGGAGCUGUGUCCACACACUAAAGCGAUGCUGGGCUUCUCACUGCCUUUUAACUGUUCAUAAUUGAAAAGUGAUGUCAAGUGAUGGUCCAGGGUGAUGUUUACAUUUGUCCAACUUAUUGUAAUUCUGUGGACAGCUUCGUUUAAAGAAAUCGUUCACCCAAAAAGACACUUUUAAAAAGUGACUUCCAUUUUAGCCUGUGUUUGGAAAAACGAUGGCAUAAUUAAAAUUUUUGGGCAAACUAAUCCUAUUAGAAUAUCUGUCUGACCAUACAUUUAGGUUAUUGACUUAAAAGCUGCCUUUAUCUUUAAACGACAUAUGGCGACUUAUUGAAUAUGAGUUGUGGUAGCAGGGAUCUCCAGCAGAGGUCUGGAUACUGUGAUCACAGUCUUUCUCUGUUAGCGCUUUGCACCAGAACAUUGAGUUUAAUCCCAGAUUGCUGGAAUGGGAAAUAAUUCAACAUCACUUGAUAAAAAAAAUCUGCUAAAAAGACGAGAGAUUAAUUUUGUAAACUUGAUUUCUAUGUGAUUUGUAUAUGACAUUCUUUUAUACAUUUUUCUCCCUUUGUCUGUGUUUAAAUAAUUGCAAUUACACGCUUUGGUUGUAACAAGAUUAUAUGCAAGCUGGCAUGCUGUUGUCUUGUGCAUUCAGCAGACCAUGUAACCCAGUGUGUUUAAUUUUCAAUAAACAAGCAUUUUAACUUCAA